UUUCCGUAGGUGAACCUGCGGAAGGAUCGUUAAAGUUAUAGUCCCCUGGCCCUCUGGGCUGGGGUCUUCUAUACCACCCUUUGUUUAUUACACCUUUGUUGCUUUGGCAGGCCUGCCCUCGGGCUGCUGGCUCCGGCCGGCUCGCGUCUGCCAGAGGACCUAAACUCUGUUUGUAUAUGAAGUCUGAGUACUAUAUAAUAGUUAAAACUUUCAACAACGGAUCUCUUGGUUCUG
rnacentral:misc_RNA from 1 species